AUGAGUUAACAUUAGACAUCAUUUCAAUAUUGUUCUUUUGAUCGAGGAACCACUACCAAAAAAAUGUUAUCUAGAAACAAAUGAUUAGGCCUACAUUGAUAACGAGUGAUUUAAGCCCAAUAGAAAAUCAGAUUUGUUUUAAAUAUUCCGGGCUGAGACCAGUAUCCAAUGGUCAGGACUCAACAGAGGAGAAGUUGAAAAACUAUCCGAGUUUUAGGCCUUAAAGCUAAUGACGGCCCAAAGCUGCUGAUGCUGCGGCUUGGAAGAAUACAUGGCAAAAGAAUGUUGAGGUAAUUGAAAGGUACUGUUGAUUUUGGCAUUUGGUACAACAAAAGUGAUGAAAAUGUUGAAGGUUUUGAUAAUAGUGAUUGGGAUGGAUCUAUUGAUGACUCUAAGAGCAUAAUAAGGUAUGUUUUUUCACUUAGUAAUGAAGUAUUUUCAAGGAACUCUAAGAAGCAAGAUGUGGUUGCUCAAUAUUCUAUCGAGGUUGAAUAUGUAGUUGUAAUAACAACCUCAAAUCAAGCUAUAUGAGUUAGGAAAGUCUUAACUGAUUUAAGUCACGUGCAAAUGAGUGUGAUAACAAGUCAAUCAUUUCAAUUGUUAAAAAUCCAAUUCAACGUGGGAGAACCAAGCAUAUUAAUGUUAAAUUUCAUGUUAUAAGGGAAGUUGAAAAGAAUGAAGAUGUUUAGUUGAUGUAUUGCAGGUCCAGGGAAUAAUUGGCAGUAUAUACUCAUUAAGGCACUUUCAAGUACUAAGUUUAACUAGCUAAGAAGCAAGUUAGGAGCCCUUAAGAAAAGUUUUAAAGAGUGUUAAAUCAGUAAAACUUUUCCUUUGUUUUUAUUGUUGUAGUUAGUCAUGGUUACUUAUGUUAAUGGAUAAAUUUCUAUUGUAAUUAUGUUUGCUUACUUCAGUAGAUAAUGUCCUACUAAGUAUUUGAUUUUUGGCAAAUCUACAUACCUAAUGAUGGUGAAUACACAUGUUUUGUUGAUAGCAUGUAUAAGCAUGAUGUAUGACUAUCAUUUUUCAUGUAUUUACCUUAUAUAUGAAUGAAAAACAU